UUGGUGCAUUCACUAGAGGAAAAAACCUUAUAAGUUGCUCAUCAAAAGUUAUCCUUAUACAACAAGAGCAACUUAUAAUAGUCAAAAAAAUAUAUAAUUUAAAAAUUGCCCUUAUCUAAUAAGAGCAUAUUUUAAUUGACAAAAAGUAAAAAAAAAAAAAAGAAAUCUCCCAUUUUCUUCUCGCUGCUCCCCUUUUGUUACUCACAAACUACUCAAAAACUCGACCAAACUACGACCAGUCGACCACCGCUCGAUUGAUCGAUUAGAGGGACAUUUUUCUUCCAUCAAAUCCAUGAGCAAGGAUUACAUUUCUUCAAUGGCUACAGAUAAUUGGUUUCGUGUUCAAUUCGUAGCUUAGUUUCUAACAUUCUUUCCGAUCAAUUACCUUCUCUCCUGUUAUCCUUGAGAUCCGUGCUUAUUAGCUACAAGAAGAAGACAAAAAGUACGCUGCCAAGAAGUCAUUUGAUCUGUUUCUUUAGAAGCUACUAGAUUGCAAAAGUUGUAUAGUCGACCAGCUUGAUGUACUAACAGUUUGACAAGAGAAUAGAACAUUUAAGGAGUAGGCAACAUGGCCAGCAUGUCCUCACAGGAGCAUUCAUAGAACCAGCUAAGUCUACUCCUCUUUUUGUUUUUCAUUUUGAAUAUGGGAAAUGUACUGUGGGAUUAUGCUACAAUAUUAUCUUGUUUCUAACUGGUUGUCUUGGUCUGUAUAUAUAAAUUAUGUAUGCUGGAAUUUAUAUAUCAAUGUGGAAAAAUGAAAGAUUGUUAUUUGAAAUUUCAUAUUUUUAGAGGAGACGCUACUGAACUUUAUACUCAACGAGGUAUGGUCUUACGUUUACAUUUGUAAGCAAGUCAAAAAGAUCCUCUAAAUGUAGUGCCAUGACACCUUUUGUGUGUCCAGCUUAGCAUCCCAUAUAGAUUCUGAAAAGUAGAAGAAAUGCCAACCCUUUCUUGAACCUCUUCCCUGCAUAUGCAGAUAUAAUGGCAAUGAAAUAACAGACAAAAGUUUUUAAUUCUGUCACAUGAUAAAAUUUGAGUGAAAAUGUUUCGUGUUUCAUCAUAGAAGGCACCUAUUAGGACCGGUGUUGUAUAUAAAACAUAGAGGACAAGAAAAGGUAGCAGUGCAACAUGUAUGAACUUUGAUCUAUAAUGGCUUAGAGGACAAGAAAACCAAGCAUUGACCAAGAAAUCCCAGCAGGAAGCAGAAGCUUUUGAAAACACGUGCACCUUGCAAGGAAAAGUUUGAAUAUAAUCCAGCAUUAAGUAAAUGCAAUCAAGUCAAAAGGCGUCUAAUAAGUAAUAAAAAUAUGCAAUAUCACAAACUUACUACCUGCAAAACUAGUGCAAGAAAUCUAGACAUACAAAUUUCCUCUGUUUGCAUGUUUAAUACACUUAGUAUUAGGUAGUCAAUCCUUCUUCACAUCUACUUUGGUCAAUUUAAGGCUCGUUUGAUCCUUACAUGUCAUAUUUUGACAAAAAUAGCCGUUUUCGCUCUCAACUCUCAACUCAUGAACCAAAAUAGGAAUUCUUAACCUUUACAUGUUCAAAAUACUUAGUAUUAGGUUGUCAAUCCUCAUUCUCAUCUACUUUGGUCAAUUUAUGCACAUUUUAGGGUCGUUCGAUCCUUACAUGUCAUAUUUUGACAAAAAUAGCAGUUUUCGCUCCCAAAUGAGACUUAUGUGUGCAUAAAGAACUUGAAAUGAAUCUUAGUAACCUCUAACUAAGCAUAUCAAACAUAAAAAAGAUUUAGAAAGUGUCAUUAGGUUCAUUUGUUGAUAUUUGGGAUCGAAAAUGCUAUUUUUGGCCAAAUAUGACCUAUAUCGAGCCAAAUGAGCCUUAGACGUGCAUAACGAACUUGAAAUGAAUCUUAGUAACCUCUAACUAACCAUAUCAAACAUAAAAAGAUUUAGAAAGUGUCCUUAGGUUCAUUUGUUGAUAUUUGGGAUCGAAAAUGUUAUUUUUGUCCAUAAAUGACCUAUAUCGACCCAAAUGACCAAUAGGCGUGCAUAACGAACUUGAAAUGAGUCUUAUAAUCAUAUAACUAAUCAUAUAAAUCAAGAAAAAGGUUUAGAAUGUGGAUAUAGGUUCGUUUGUUGGUAGUUGGGAUCGAAAAUGCCAUUUUUGGCCAUGAAUGACCUAUAUCGACCCAAAUGACCCAUAGGCGUGCAUAACGAACUUGAAAUGAGUCUUAUAAUCAUAUAACUAAUCAUAGGAAUCAUGAAAAAUGUUUAGAAUGUGGAUAUAGGUUCGUUUGUUGGUAGUUGGGAUCGAAAAUGCCAUUUUUGUCCAUAAAUGACCUAUAUCGACCCAAAUGACCCAUAGGCGUGUAUAACGAACUUGAAAUGAGUCUUAUAAUCAUAUAACUAAUCAUAAGAAUCAUGAAAAAGGUUUAGAAUGUAGAUAUAGGUUCAUUUGUUGGUAGUUGGGAUCAAAAAUGCCAUUUUUGGCCAUAAAUGACCUACAUCGACCCAAAUGACCCAUAGGGGUGCAUAACGAACUUGAAAUAAGUCUUAUAAUCAUAUAACUAAUCAUAGGAAUCAUGAAAAAGGUUUAGAAUGUGGAUAUAGGUUCUUUUGUUGGUAGUUGGGAUCGAAAAUGCCAUUUUUUGUCCAUAAAUGACCUAUAUCGACCCAAAUGACCCAUAGGCGGGUAUAACGAACUUGAAAUGAGUCUUAUAAUCAUAUAACUAAUCAUAAGAAUCAUGAAAAAGGUUUAGAAUGUAGAUAUAGGUUCAUUUGUUGGUAGUUGGGAUCAAAAAUGCCAUUUUUGGCCAUAAAUGACCUACAUCGACCCAAAUGACCCAUAGGGGUGCAUAACGAACUUGAAAUAAGUCUUAUAAUCAUAUAACUAAUCAUAGGAAUCAUGAAAAAGGUUUAGAAUGUGGAUAUAGGUUCGUUUGUUGGUAGUUGGGAUCGAAAAUGCCAUUUUUUGUCCAUAAAUGACCUAUAUCGACCCAAAUGACCCAUAGGCGGGUAUAAAGAACUUGAAAUGAGUCUUAUAAUCAUAUAACUAAUCAUAUGAAUCAUGAAAAACGUUUAGAAUGUGGAUAUACGUUCGUUUGUUCGUAGUUGGGAUCGAAAAUGCCAUUUUUGGCCAUAAAUGACCUAUAUCAAUGACCAAUAGCCGUGCAUAACGAACUUGAAAUGAGUCUUAUAAUCAUCUGACUAAUCUUAGAAAUCAUGAAAAAGGAGAAUGUGGAAAGAGGUUCGUUUGUUGGUAGUUGGGUUCAAAAAUGUCAUUUUUGGCCAAUAUAAUUGUUUUCGUGACCAAUAUAAUUUUUGUUUUCGCAUAUGAAACUUAAUUUAAUUUAUUGGUUUGCAUGUACGGUGUUCUUUUAAAGGUUUUCAAAACUCCAAGGGAGGGGCCUUUUACCAAAAAGGAGUUGGAUGAAGUUCGAGACAAGUGGGCUACUUACUUCAAGGAUUGUGAACUACGCUCAGUGUAAUAAAUAGAGAAGGCUUGUAGUUAUUCGUGACUCCUACAUUAUUUUGUUAUUUAUCGAUUUAAUUAAUUACAUUUGAAUUAAUUCGGUAAUAUUAUUGGAAAUUUGAAAUUUAUAUCA